CUUGCCAUCCUUCUUAUCAAGUAUAUUGCUUGUUUAUGACCCUCCGGGGUUGCUGGAUGCACUCCUUUGUAGUUCUGUUUUAUUUACCCCAGAAGUGCAUGCUUAGUUAGCUUUUGUAGUGUAACUUUGUCCCCACGUGGGGUUUGUUGAAAUGCUCAGAGGAAAUCUGAUUGGUUCUUACGAACACAGUGCAAAAAGUUCUUUUGUGAAUAAAACGACCUGGGCCAGAGGGUUGACGGGAAUUAUUAUUAUACGCACCCUUCCCAGAGUCUUGCUGGUUCAAGCCUCUGUGUGUAUUCUUAUUAAUCAGAGUUCAAUUCUUCCUUUACUUUGGGAAUGCCUCACCAUUGAUCCUGCUGGCUGCUCCCGGCUUCCUGUUUCCGGCGGUGGGAAAUGGCAGACUCCCACAAGAUCGGACCCCAGCCGUUCCGAUAAUUCAGGGCUGAUACGGGGGUAAUUAGCCCUGGCAGCCUCAAAGACCCGUGGAUUGUCCAAGAUUGCCGGCGUGCACUAAGGUGCAGCCGGCAGGACACUGGGUCAAAGAGCAUGGAACGACUGGCACUCCUUCAAUGUCAUUCUCAUAGCCAGGAGCAUCUGUUUGGGAAUAUUAAUAGAUUUGGACGAUAAACAGACACGGCUGGAUUGAAGGAGCGUGAGGAAAAGCCUGCAGAAGUGUACAGUUCCUGGGGGUUAAGUUCGGACUUCAAAGAGAUUCUCAUCAUGGUGUUUGGAUUACGUUUGGUAUGUUUUUUUCUCCUCUCUCUACUCAACAAUUAUAAUUGGUCUUUUAUGCCAAGCCUCAUGAAGAAUUUAAACUAAGAAAAAAAAAGAGUACAGAUGGACUUUUAUUUAUAAUUAGGCAUUUAACCGCUCAGCUUCAUUUCGGAUUUGAGAGAUCUGACAGAGAUGCAGGAAGAGACACGAUGGUUUCCACUAGUUUCUACUAGUGACGCAGCAUGAAAUUUUAUAUCUCUUCCUUUCUUUGAGACAAGAGGAGCUGUGUGCUGACUUUGUGAUGAAUCAAGAUAACAACUUGGAACAAUAUACAGUGCAGCUGUUUGCAGAAGCUUUUUAUAUUCAUUAUGAGUAAAGAAAAGGCUAAGGGAUGUCUAGCAGCCCCACCCCCCGGGCCCAGAGUGGGGAAAGUGCGGUUUCCAAAGGCCGAUUGAUCGCCAAAUGACUGAUACUGUGGAACACAGUUUAAUAUUGCAAACACUUUUGCCUAAUAAUUUGGAAAGUACUGGUUUAACAAAGUUCAAAAGGAAGGUUGGACAAUUAAGGAGUUGCUGCGCUAUCAAAGAUAACAGACUUGGACAACAUCCCGGAAUUGGAACGGAAUCAGAUGAAGCUGAGCUGAGAAAAAGGCAGUUGGAAAAAUUUUAUAUUAACAAAGUUGUAUUCGGACGAUGAAAAUAUAUGGUGUUUGACAUGAAUGAGAAUCCUGGACACAGGGACAAAAAAUGAUCAAGCGUUAAUAUCGAGAUGUGGAAAAUAUGGAAACGACAAGGAGAAGCAGGACUAAGAUGCGGAGAUAUGCUCCAGAGAUCCAGACCGUGGGGAGCCCCAAGAAAUUAAUAAAUACGAUUUGGACUAUAAUUUGAUCUUUUUUAUUUAGUUUUUUUAGUUUUUAAUUGAAGUAUUAUG
rnacentral:lncRNA from 1 species